rnacentral:rRNA from 1 species
AGAGUUUGAUCAUGGCUCAGAGCGAACGCUGGCGGCGUGGAUAAGGCAUGCAAGUCGAGCGAUCCCCGCAAGGGGAUAGCGGCAAACGGGUGCGUAACGCGUAGGGAACCUGCCCGGGAGCGUGGAAUAACCUGACGAAAGACAGGCUAAUACCGCAUGUCCUCACGGCCUCACCUGGGGCUAUGAGGAAAGGUGGCGAACCCGCAAGGGUGCUACCGCUUCCGGAGGGUCCUGCGUCCCAUCAGCUAGUUGGUAGGGUCACGGCCUACCAAGGCAUCAGACGGGUAGCUAGCCUUAGAGGACGGUUAGCCACACUGGGACUGAGACACUGCCCAGACUCCUACGGGAGGCUGCAGUCGAGGAUCUUUGGCAAUGGGCGAAAGCCUGACCAUGCGACGCCGCGUGCGGGAUGAAGGCCUUCGGGUCGUAAACCGCUGUUGCGAGGGAUGAAGGCUCGUGCUGCAAAUAGCGGCGGCGGGCUUGACGGUACCUCGAAAGAAAGCCACGGCCAACUCCGUGCCAGCAGCCGCGGUAAUACGGAGGUGGCGAGCGUUGCUCGGAUUUACUGGGCGUAAAGGGCACGUAGGCGGUCCUAUAAGCCCCAUCUAAAAGGCUCUGGCUCAACCAGAGACGGUGGUGGGGGACUGCAGGACUUGAGGAUGGGAGAGGCAGGCGGAAUUCCCGGUGUAAGGGUGAAAUCUGUAGAGAUCGGGAGGAACACCAGUGGCGAAGGCGGCCUGCUAGACCAUUUCUGACGCUGAGGUGCGACAGCUGGGGGAGCAAACAGGAUUAGAUACCCUGGUAGUCCCAGCCGUAAACGAUGGACACUAGGUGUUGGUCCCUUCUGGGAUCAGUGCCGCAGGUAACCCGAUAAGUGUCCCGCCUGAGGAGUACGGCCGCAAGGUUGAAACUCAAAGGAAUUGACGGGGGCCAGCACAAGCGGUGGAACAUGUGGUUUAAUUCGAUGCUACGCGAAGAACCUUACCCAGGCUUGACAUGCAAGUAGUAGGAACCUGAAAGGGGGACGACUCGUAACCAGUCGAGAGCUUGCACAGGUGCUGCAUGGCUGUCGUCAGCUCGUGCCGUGAGGUGUUGGCUUAAGUGCCACAACGAGCGCAACCAUUACUGUUAGUUGCCAGCGGGGUCCGCAAGGACUGCCGGGCACUCUAGCGGGACUGCCAGCGACGAGCUGGAGGAAGGUGGUGAUGACGUCAAGUCCGUACGGCCCUUAUGCCUGGGGCGACACACGUGUUACAAUGGCACGGACAAUGCGCUGCGAGCUCGUGAGAGCAAGCUAAUCGCUUAAACCGUGCCUCAGUUCGGAUCGAAGGCUGCAACUCGCCUUCGUGAAGCCGGAAUCGCUAGUAACGGCGGAUCAGCCACGCCGCCGUGAAUACGUUCCCUGGCCUUGUACACACCGCCCAAU